AUGGGUGUUUUAGGCGCUGUGCAAUGGUGGGAGGAGUGGCAGCUGCGGAUCCUCGUCCUUGGGAGCCUGGUGAUUCAGUACAUCCUCCUCGUCUCUUCUGUCGCGCGUAAGUUCCCCAUCAGAUCCUGGUUUAGACCUAUUAUCUGGCUUGCAUACCUUGGCAGCGAUGCCAUUGCAAUCUAUGCGCUCGCCACCCUCUUCAACCGCCAAAGGAAGCCGCAGCAGGAGGAUGGAGACGGUGUCAGCAGCAUCUUGGAGGUGUUGUGGGCGCCUAUCCUCCUGAUACACCUCGGUGGACAGGAUGGCAUAACCGCCUACAACAUCGAAGACAACGAGCUAUGGACGCGGCACAUCCUCACCUCGGUGUCUCAGGUCACCGUGGCCGUCUAUGUGUUCUGCAAAUCGUGGCCAGACAGCGAUGACACGAAAUUGCUAGUUGCUGCAAUAUUGCUCUUCAUCCCCGGUAUCCUCAAAUGCUUAGAGAAGCCCUGGGCUCUCAACAGAGCUAGCAUUAACAGCUUGGUGAGCUCCGGUGAGCCUAUUCGGAGGUCAAUACACACACACAAGCUCAAGAUUGAUCCGCUUGAAGAUUUCAUUGACAAGGCAAUCAGUCCUGCCGGGCCCAAUGACCACCUUUUAACACUAACAGACCAUACUCGGUAUAAGUUAUUUGUGGACCUUGCAUCUCCUUCUGUUGAUGAUCGGAUCAGGAUGCUACGGUCCUUCUCAGCACUUGAUGACUACCGUGCAUAUCGUAAGCUGCAGUCUGGCAUCUCCGAGACGUUCCAAUUACUCUACACCAAAGAAAAGGUGUUCUCCGGUUUCAUGAUCAAUAGAGCCAGAUCCACGGCCAAUUUGUACAGAGUAAUGAAACCCUCACCAGCUGGUUUCUUUUUCGGGGUACUUGUCCGUGCAGUAGCUGUGUACCUUCCAUUGGCAGCCAUAGCGCUCUUCCAUCAGAGUCACAGAGAAGCUUAUAGUGAAGACGAUGUCAAGGUUACAUAUGCCUUGCUCGCAUGUACCACUGUCCUGGAGUAUUGGGUCGGUGGCCUAAACAUGAACCCAAGGACCCAAGAAAAAAGGGUAUGGCUGUCAAAACUAGUCAAGUCUAUAUAUGAUGAUAUGGUUUACCAAUACAGCCUUAUAGGACUGCUUGUCCGCAAUAAAGAGCAUUCCAGUCUUAUGAGCAUCGUGGGAUUCUUGCGAUGCGCCGACUUCCUUCAGCAACAUUGGCACAUGAAGUCUUGCUCCUCAUCCUUGAGCAUUACAAAGUUAGUGCUGCAGUAUGUGAAAUGUCAUUACCAGGAACUGGGCUGGAGCUUAGAGGGUGCAUUCGAUGAGAGUGUUCUUCUCUGGCAUCUCGCCACGGAUUUCUGCUACUACGACAAGGGUGCAUCUCGUUCUCACCAUGGGUAUCAGUGCACGCAAGAUUCGUGUCCUGCUUGGUGCAAAAAGUCUGAUCAUCACAAGAGGGCCGUCCAGUGCAGAGAAAUGUCCAAUUACAUGAUGUAUCUACUAUUUGUGAAUCCUGAGAUGCUAAUGGCAGGCACUAGAAGGAACCUUUUCAUGGCCGCCUACAAAGAACUGAAGGGCAUCAUUAUCCAGGGAGACAAGCAACCUCCCAAGGAAAGAGAGCUUACGCAGGGGAUAAUCGCUGCGCUGGAUGAUGAAGGAGUAUCUCCACCUUCAGAUGAUACCCAGCAGCAACAGGGGGGCAUUAUCCGUGACGCUUGGAGUAUUUUCAAAGUGCUGUCGAGUCUGCCUGAAGGGAAGAUGUGGGAUGUGAUCGAAGGCGUGUGGGUGGAGAAGUUGUGCUUCUCUGCCGCUAGAUGCAGAGGAUACCUGCAUGCCAAGGGUCUGGCCACGGGUGUGGAGUACCUGACCUAUGUUUGGCUGCUGCAGUACUACAUGGGGAUGGAGACUUUGUCAGAAAAACUGCAGAGGGUGGAUCAUCAUCACCAUCACAACGGAGGAGAGCAUGGGGAUGACCCUUCAACUCCUGGUGUCAGCAGGGUCACGACUGCCCGAGAGGAAGCUGUUGGUCCUUCAAGAUCAAGUGGUGGUGCCGCCGAAGAACAAGCCACCGGUCAAUCCGCCGGUUACCAUGACAGUGAUGGCAUAGUGGAAGAAAUCGUCUGA
rnacentral:rRNA from 1 species